rnacentral:rRNA from 1 species
AACGAACGCUGGCGGCAUGCCUAACACAUGCAAGUCGAACGAGACCUUCGGGUCUAGUGGCGCACGGGUGCGUAACGCGUGGGAACCUGCCCUUAGGUUCGGAAUAACUCCCCGAAAGGGGUGCUAAUACCGGAUAAUGUCUUCGGACCAAAGAUUUAUCGCCUUUGGAUGGGCCCGCGUUGGAUUAGCUAGUUGGUAGGGUAAAAGCCUACCAAGGCGACGAUCCAUAGCUGGUCUGAGAGGAUGAUCAGCCACACUGGGACUGAGACACGGCCCAGACUCCUUCGGGAAGCAGCAGUGGGGAAUAUUGGAAAAUGGGCGAAAGCCUGAACCAGCAAGGCCGCGUGAGUGAUGAAGGCCUUAGGGUUGUAAAGCUCUUUUACCCGGGAUGAUAAUGACAGUACCGGGAGAAUAAGCGCCGGCUAACUCCGUG